GCCAGGUGUGGGGGUGCACACCUGUAAUCCCAGUGGCUAGGGAGGCCGAGGCAGGAGGAUCGCAAGUUCAAAGCCAGCCUCAGAAGCUUAGCGAGGCCCUAAGUAACUUAGUGAGACCCUGUCUCUG
rnacentral:sRNA from 1 species